rnacentral:rRNA from 1 species
UACGUAGGAGGCAAACGUUAUCCGGAUUUACUGGGCGUAAAGAGUGUGUAGGUGGUUUGCAAAGUCGGUUAUGAAAGCUUUGGACUUAAUUCAGAGUCGCUAUCCGAUACUUGUAGACUAGAGGACGGCAGAGGAAAGUAGAAUUCCCGGUGUAGCGGUGAAAUGCGUAGAUAUCGGGAGGAAUACCUGUGGCGAAGGCGGCUUUCUGGGCCGCUCCUGACACUGAGACACGAAAGCGUGGGGAGCGAAACGAAUUAGAUACUCGUGUAGUCCACGCCCUAAACUGUGAGUACUAGGUAUAGGGGGUAUCGACCCUCUCUGUGCCGUAGCUAACGCGUUAAGUACUCCGCCUGGGGACUACGGUCGCAAGACUA